rnacentral:rRNA from 1 species
GUCCACGCCGUAAACGAUGGAUACUAGCUGUUGGGAGCAAUUUCAGUGGCUAAGCGAAAGUGAUAAGUAUCCCACCUGGGGAGUACGAACGCAAGUUUGAAACUCAAAGGAAUUGACGGGGCCCGCACAAGCGGUGGAGCAUGUGGUUUAAUUCGAUGAUACGCGAGGAACCUUACCAAGGCUUAAAUGUAGAUUGACCGGUUUGGAAACAGAUCUUUCGCAAUACAAUUUACAAGGUGCUGCAUGGUUGUCGU